rnacentral:rRNA from 1 species
AUUGAACGCUGGCGGCAGGCCUAACACAUGCAAGUCGAGCGGAGCGGCGGACGGGUGAGUAAUGCCUAGGAAUCUGCAUGGUAGUGGGGUAUAACGUCAGGAAACGGGCGCUAAUACCACAUAAUAUCAGAUGAGCCUAGGUCGUAUUAGCUCGUGGGGGGGGAAAAGGCUUACCAAGGCGACGAUCCGUAGCUGGUCUGAGAGGAUGAUCAGUCACACUGGAACUGAGACACGGCCCAGACUCCUACGGGAGGCAGCAGUGGGGAAUAUUUGACAAUGGGCGAAAGCCUGAUCCAGCCAUGCCGCGUGUGUGAAGAAGGUCUUCGGAUUGUAAAGCACUUUAAGUUGGGAGGCGUUACCAACAGAAUAAGCACCGGCUAACUUCGUGCCAGCAGCCGCGGUAAUAC